rnacentral:rRNA from 1 species
GUUUGAUCCUGGCUCAGGAUAAACGCUGGCGGCGUGCCUAACACAUGCAAGUCGAACGCCCUUUGUCUCGCGAGAGAGGGAGGGAGUGGCGGACGGGUGAGUAACACAUGGGUGACCUACCCCCCAGUGAGGGAUACCGGCGAGAAAUUGCCGACAAGCCCGCAUAGGUUCUUGCUGGUCGAGCAGUGAGAGCAAAGGGUCUUUCGCGAGAGAGAGCCGCUGAGGGAUGGGCCUGUGGCCGAUUAGCUAGUUGGUGAGGUAAGAGCUUACCAAGGCGUCGAUCGGUAGCUGGUCUGAGAGGACGAUCAGCCACACUGGGAUUGAGAACGGCCCAGACUCCUACGGGGGGCAGCAGUGAGGAAUUUUCCGCAAUGGGGGCAACCCUGACGGAGCAACGCCGCGUGCAGGAGGACGCUUUUCGGAGUGUAAACUGCUUUUCUGUGGGAAGAGCUACGGACGGUACCACAGGAAGAAGCCCCGGCUAACUACGUGCCAGCAGCCGCGGUAAUACGUAGGGGGCGAGCGUUGUCCGGAGUUACUGGGCGUAAAGGGCAUGCAGGCGGUCGGAGGCGUUUCGGGUGACAGCGGGUGGCUUAACUACCCGAGUGUUCGAAAGACGCUCCGACUUGAGGACUCGAGAGGGACACGGAAUUCCGGGUGGAGUGGUGAAAUGCGUAGAGAUCCGGAGGAACACCGAAGGCGAAGGCAGUGUCCUGGCGAGUGACUGACGCUGAGGUGCGAAAGCUAGGGGAGCGAACGGGAUUAGAUACCCCGGUAGUCCUAGCCGUAAACGAUGACCACCAGGUGUGGGAGGUAUCGACCCCUUCCGUGCCGGAGUUAACACACUAAGUGGUCCGCCUGGGGAGUACGGUCGCAAGAUUAAAACUCAAAGGAAUUGACGGGGACCCGCACAAGCAGCGGAGCGUGUGGUUUAAUUCGAUGCGACGCGAGGACCUUACCAGGGUUUGGACAUGCACGUGCACCUCCUCAGAGAAUGAGAAGUCCCUUUCGGGGCGCCGUGCACAGGGGCUGCAUGCG